UACGUAGGUGGCAAGCGUUGUCCGGAAUUAUUGGGCGUAAAGCGCGCGCAGGCGGUUCUUUAAGUCUGAUGUGAAAGCCCACGGCUCAACCGUGGAGGGUCAUUGGAAACUGGAGAACUUGAGUACAGAAGAGGAAAGCGGAAUUCCACGUGUAGCGGUGAAAUGCGUAGAGAUGUGGAGGAACACCAGUGGCGAAGGCGGCUUUCUGGACUGUAACUGACACUGAGGCACGAAAGCGUGGGGAGCAAACAGG
rnacentral:rRNA from 1 species